GCAACGCCACGGACUGCUGGAGACAAAAUGGGCUGUGUCCAAGGAGAAGACCUUUGUUUGCUCCUUUUUUGAAUCUCAUAUCCAGUGUUUUUCUUCACAGGUUUUGCACACUAGGGACCAAGACGCCCUCGGGGACACCGUCGAGAAAAAACUGCCGGAGGGAAGACCACCGGGGAGAUAUACAAAUAUUUUAGGAAUCAUGGAAUCUAUUCCAGAGGAAACUAACCAACAGUGAACAUCUUCAACUAAAACUACCCCUGGAUAUAACGGUUGCAUGCAUCAUUCCUUUAAUUGAGCAGAGUUAACUGGAUCAUAUAAUUUAUGGGAGAGAAAGGAAAAGCUAUACAGAAUUAUGAUAAUUUUUAAUUUCUACCACUAUAUUCUUUGUAAGUGAAUCACUCUAUAAUUACUUUCUGUUGCACUGAAUGCAACAAUAAAAAAAUAGUAUUUUAAGGUACUUCUUUUUUGCAUACUCUGACCUUGUAAUUAUUUAA